AUGGGUAGGAAAUGCAAAAUACUAACAAAAUUAGGUGUACCUACUAAACCAAUGGUUGAAGAACCACUCAAAAUCUAUCACACUGCUGAAGCUUAUUACUUGGAUCAUCUUCGAUCCCUAUGUGCUCAUGCCGAAACCCCAACUAGCUUAGUUGAGGGAAAAUCUUUAGAUGAGCAUGCUUGUUAUGUGCGACACCGAAUAUCUGAAAAAGGGAAAACUUUACUGGAUCAAAUUCAUCGUUUGCAAUGCUAUGCUUGGAAUUUAUGUGAAAUAUAUGAUUAUACUUGUUGUUCUGAAGACCCUAAGAAACACCUUCCCUACCAAUUUUUGUUUAGUGAUAAUGGAAUCGUAUCCUCUUAUGCUAAGGGUGUUUAUAGUUACUAUGAUGUUCAACAAAUUGAAGAAUUUGUUGCUUUUAAGGGUGCUUACGAAAUUGCUUCUUUUAUUGAAAAGUAUGAUGCUACUCUUUACAAAUCUGAAAAAUUUGCCAUAUUUAAAUAUUGCUAUGAUAAUUAUGCUUCUAAUGCCUAUGUUGAACCAUAUAUUGAGUACUACUCCGCUAUCCAAGAAGAGACUAAUAUUUUGUAG
rnacentral:rRNA from 1 species